rnacentral:snoRNA from 1 species
AAUGCACACUGUUAAAGCCGGGCGCUGAUGUGAGUGUUCUGGUGUCGGAAGUGUGCGAAAGUAAAGCGGAUCGGGGGGGUUUCGCUAACGCCAGGAGGACGGCUGUCCGAUGACUGGGGUUUGAAAACACCCUGAGCCACAGUU